UUGAAACGGCCAGAACGCGGGGAGAAGAAGGAAAGGAAUAGUGGCUGUGGAAUUAGGGCACUCGCCGGAUCUUUGACCGGCCGUUUGGACGGCCAAACGAUCUCCGUUUUGGCCCAAAUUUGGAGGGAGUACUCUAUUCGACUAGAGGAACAAGCCUACGGUGACUGAUUUCGUUUUUAACGGCCAAAUUUUCAGAUCUGAGAUGCAGAUAUCUCUCCUGAGGAUCCACAAGUGGGGCAGGGAGGACUUCAGGAUGCUCCUGGAGCGGCCUAGUGGAGCAUAGCAUUUUUGUUAUUGUGUUUCUUUUUGGAUUUUGGGAUUUGUUUUAGUGAUUAUGACUCAUGGAUUUGUUAUGAAGCUUUAUUUUGAUUAAUUUGUUAAUUGGGAAUUUUUAUUUUGGAUUAUAAUGAAUAUUUAUUUAAUCUUGUU